GUCAGGGAAUUACAAGCAAAGCUUAAAACCCAAAGGACUUGACGGUGCCCCAUUUCCCACUAGAGGAGCCUGUCCUAUAAUCGAUAAUCCCCGCUUAACCUCACCAUAUCUAGCAUACUCAGCUUGUAUACUUCCGUCGCAAGUCUACCACAUGAGCGAAGCCUAGUCGGCCCAAUGUUCACACAUAAAUGUGCCUACAUCAACAAUACGUCAGGUCAAAGUGCAGCAAAUGAUAUGGGAUAAGAUUGGCUACACUUUUUAACUUAAAAGAAACGGAGACAAAACAUGAAACUUUGUCAGAAGGUGGAUCUAGCAGUAAAAGAAAAAUAUUAAGUUUCUUUUAAUUUUCGGCACUGGAGCGUGU
rnacentral:rRNA from 1 species